CACGGGGGGAGCAAGCGUUGUUCGGAAUCACUGGGCGUAAAGGGCGUGUAGGCGGUCAAGUAAGUGGGAUGUGAAAUCCUUCGGCUUACCCGGAGACCUGCAUCUCAAACUGCUUGGCUUGAGUACGGGAGAGGAUGAGGGAAUUCCUGGUGUAGCGGUGAAAUGCGUAGAUAUCAGGAGGAACACCGGUGGCGAAGGCGCUCAUCUGGCCCGAUACUGACGCUGAGGCGCGAAAGCUAGGGGAGCAAACGGG
rnacentral:rRNA from 1 species